GAAUAUUGGACAAUGGGCGAAAGCCUGAUCCAGCCAUGCCGCGUGUGUGAAGAAGGCCUUCGGGUUGUAAAGCACUUUCAGCGAGGAGGAAGGGUGUUGUUUUAAUAGAACAGCAUUUUGACGUUACUCGCAGAAGAAGCACCGGCUAACUCCGUGCCAGCAGCCGCGGUAAUACGGAGGGUGCAAGCGUUAAUCGGAAUUACUGGGCGUAAAGCGCACGCAGGCGGCUUUUUAAGUCGGAUGUGAAAGCCCCGGGCUCAACCUGGGAAUUGCAUUCGAUACUGGGGAGCUAGAGUAUGUGAGAGGGGGGUAGAAUUCCAAGUGUAGCGGUGAAAUGCGUAGAGAUUUGGAGGAAUACCAGUGGCGAAGGCGGCCCCCUGGCACAAUACUGACGCUCAGGUGCGAAAGCGUGGGGAGCAAACAGGA
rnacentral:rRNA from 1 species